UGGGGAAUAUUGCACAAUGGGCGCAAGCCUGAUGCAGCCAUGCCGCGUGUAUGAAGAAGGCCUUCGGGUUGUAAAGUACUUUCAGCGGGGAGGAAGGGAGUAAAGUUAAUACCUUUGCUCAUUGACGUUACCCACAGAAGAAGCACCGGCUAACUCCGUGCCAGCAGCCGCGGUAAUACGGAGGGUGCAAGCGUUAAUCGGAAUUACUGGGCGUAAAGCGCACGCAGGCGGUUUGUUAAGUCAGAUGUGAAAUCCCCGGGCUCAACCUGGGAACUGCAUCUGAUACUGGCAAGCUUGAGUCUCGUAGAGGGGGGUAGAAUUCCAGGUGUAGCGGUGAAAUGCGUAGAGAUCUGGAGGAAUACCGGUGGCGAAGGCGGCCCCCUGGACAAAGACUGACGCUCAGGUGCGAAAGCGUGGGGAGCAAACAGG
rnacentral:rRNA from 1 species